GGAGGGAGGCGACACUAAAUUCUCUCCUGACACCAACUGUAUCUUUUUCAGAACCGAAAAGGGAAACAACUCCGUCCUUGACCUUCAACAAGAAAUUGACUCAGCUAGCUUAACUAUUCAAACAAACAACUGUGUACUCUCUUCAAUUCCGGGGAUGAGUUUGAUUUACCGUAAAUGACUGCAUUUAAUGAACUAAAUUAUGCUAUUUAAAUGCAUUUUGUGAAUGGGAGCGCCGUUUGUUACCCGGCGCUCUGGCGAGGCUAAAUUGUGCUGUAAAUGAUAUGAUAUGGAACAUAUGUGCGGCAUUCAUAAUUUAAGGGUUGCUAUGGCGCGCCUUGUCGGGAGGCCACACUGAGUAGCGAGUCUUUAUUUACCUGCUGAAAUGAAGGUGAUAUCUCCGCGAAUCACGAGGUCUCGCUGACCUUGGCAGAAUUACAGAGCUAAUAUUUUCACAUGGAUGAGCUGUUCCGGCGCGAUCUCUCUGAUGGCGAUGACACAGAUCGGCUUCCUGCGGCGCAGCGCCGAUUUCUCCCGGCUUUUGGCUUCCCCGCCCUUCUUUCCUCGCACAAACAUUUGCGGCUGCCUCCACGAGGGCCAUCCUCCCUCCGUUAAGAUGAGGAAACUGAGUCGGAGAAAGGCUAAGACGUUUGUCUGGGGUCUCACAGAUAAAGCAAACCCCAAUUUUACCACAAUGGAGUUUUGUCCUUGAGUACUACUACAUGAAUGGAGGCGGGAUGAUGGAUCAAAGUGAGCCCAACAGAGGAAAGCCUCUCUCCAAUUCAUUUCCCUGAGCACCCCAAAUAUUAAGAGCAGUGCCUGGACCAGGCAUCCAGGAUAAGGAAUAAACCAAGAGUAGAUUUUCCUUCUACA
rnacentral:lncRNA from 1 species